AGAGUUUGAUCCUGGCUCAGAACGAACGCUGGCGGCGUGCCUAACACAUGCAAGUCGAACGUGAAAGUCCUUCGGGAUGAGUAAAGUGGCGCACGGGUGAGUAAUGCGUAGAUAAUCUGCCUGGUGAUCUGGGAUAACAUCUCGAAAGGGGUGCUAAUACCGGAUAAGCCCACGGAGUCUUCGGACUUUGCGGGAAAAGGGGGGGACCUUCGGGCCUUCUGUCACCAGAUGAGUCUACGUACCAUUAGCUAGUUGGUGGGGUAAGAGCCCACCAAGGCUACGAUGGUUAGCUGGUCUGAGAGGAUAAUCAGCCACACUGGAACUGAGACACGGUCCAGACUCCUACGGGAGGCAGCAGUGGGGAAUUUUGCGCAAUGGGGGAAACCCUGACGCAGCAACGCCGCGUGAGUGAUGAAGGCCUUCGGGU
rnacentral:rRNA from 1 species